GCCAGACUCCUACGGGAGGCAGCAGUGGGGAAUAUUGCACAAUGGGGGGAACCCUGAUGCAGCAAUGCCGCGUGAAGGAUGAAGGUUUUCGGAUUGUAAACUUCUUUUGUACGGGACGAAGAAAGUGACGGUACCGUAAGAAUAAGCCACGGCUAACUGCGUGCCAGCAGCCGCGGUAAUACGUAGGUGGCAAGCGUUAUCCGGAUUUACUGGGUGUAAAGGGCGAGUAGGCGGGAUUGCAAGUCAGAUGUGAAAACUAUGGGCUCAACCGAUAGAGUGCAUUUGAAACUGCAGUUCUUGAGUGUCGGAGAGGUCAUCGGAAUUCCUUGUGUAGCGGUGAAAUGCGUAGAUAUAAGGAAGAACACCAGUGGCGAAGGCGGAUGACUGGACGAUAACUGACGGUGAGGCGCGAAAGCGUGGGGAGCAAACAGGAUUAGAUACCCUCGUA
rnacentral:rRNA from 1 species